CCUGUUUAUUAAAAACAUGGUUUUAAAAAUUUUUAUUUAAAAUUGAACCUGCCCAUUGAUUUUUUUUUUAAAAGGCCGCAGUAUUUUGACUGUGCUAAGGUAGCAUAAUCAUUAGAUUUUUAAUUGAAAUCUAGAAUGAAUGGUUUAAUGAAAUAAAAUCUUUUUUAAUUUAAAAUUAGAAUUUUAUUUUUUAGUUAAAAAGCUUAAAUAUUUUAAAGGGACGAGAAGACCCUAUAGAAUUUUAUAAAAAAAAAUUAUAUAAUUUAAAUUAUUAUUAAAAUUUUAUAUAUUUUAUUUAUUUUAUUGGGGUGAUAAUUAAAUUUAUUUAACUUUAAUAAUUGAUUUUCAUUAAUUAAUGUAUUUUUGAUCUUUUUUUAUUGAUUAUAAAAAUAAAUUACCUUAGGGAUAACAGCAUAAUUUUAUUAAAAAGUUCUUAUUUUUAAUAAUGUUUAUGACCUCGAUGU
rnacentral:rRNA from 1 species